rnacentral:rRNA from 1 species
UACGUAGGUGGCAAGCGUUGUCCGGAUUUACUGGGCGUAAAGAGCGCGCAGGCGGUCGCUCAAGUCGCGUGUGAAAGCCCCCGGCUCAACUGGGGAGGGUCACGCGAUACUGAUCGACUGGAAGGCAGGAGAGGGUAGUGGAAUUCCCGGUGUAGUGGUGAAAUGCGUAGAUAUCUGGAGGAACACCGGUGGCGAAGGCGGCAUCCUGGACCGACACUGACGCUGAGGCGCGAAAGCUAGGGUAGCAAACGGG